UUGUCAGGUGCCAGAGAGCAGAGUUGUUCUCUUUUCAAAUUGCUGGUUUGAUUUCUGGCAGUACUUGAUUGCUUUAAAAUGUGCUUUCUACAUCCAUUUUCCUCAAUACUUAAUUAACUGCAGAAAAAGACUGAAAUGAGGUUUCAUUUAAGUAAAUGUUUCAUUUUUGUUGCCUCUAACCCAUUCAUUUUUUUCCUUUAGCUCACUAAAGUAGUCUCAGAGAUCUUAUCUUUCAUUUGCAAGAAAUUUUGCACUCAGGUUUAACUCUCUUUAGCUAAAUCCCCCUGAAGAAUGCAUCCAGUGUUAUGACAAAGCACAGAAGCAAGGCCACAGCAGAAGUGAUGAAAAGCCAACUAAAAUCAAGCCAUCUCAUUUUGUUCUGUGGAAGGCGACUGGGGGAAUUCAUGACGGAAAAGGGACUCUAAGAGCUGUCAUGUAGAAGGAAAAAAGGACGGGUGGAAUUAGAAGCUCAGCAGAUUCUGAAUCUAAUCUUGAAGCUUGCUGACCUAUAACUAAAGCAUGACCUGGAGAACAGAUUGUGCUUGAUUUCAGUGACUAAUCAAAGUUGUCAGCUAUACAGAUGUGAAGGUAUGCACGUGUCCUGUGGCUGUGAGAUGGACCAAGUUUAGUGAUGGUCAUCUGUUUACAUUUUCUACACAUUUUUUCCAGUUGUCUCCAUAUGUGAAAACCCUGAUUUAUGUAGACAAGUAUCUUUGUUCUUGAAGAGAUGAGUAUUUGCCACUGCACACACACAAAUGAAAUAGGAAGAAGAGCAACAUGUCAGUAUACAUUAUAUGCUGCCAGAGCAGGCAGUGAAUGAAUAUGUCCAGUUAAAACUUCAGAAGAAGCUUAAGAAGUUGAAAUGAAACCUUAGAAAUGUGAGAAUAAAUACUAACCAUGUUACAGUGGCAAAGUACAAAAUGCCUACUUCAGGUUCUAUGCAGAAGAGGGUCUGCUUUAUAAGACAUUUCCCCUUCUGCCUGUCAUGGGGUCAGUACUAGUUUGGAGGGAAGAUUCUACAUACGAGAUCAACAACAUUAUUUGUUGUGAGAAGAAUAAGCUUGAAUCCUGUGCUCAACUCAGAGCAGUCAUUUUUAUUUUUACUGGUUUACAUUUGAAACUUUCCCACGUGCAGCAUCCAAUUAUGGUAUAUUACAAAAACCUGUGUUUAAAUGGUAACAGUGCACAGUGCUUGAAAGUGACUGUUGUUAAAUUGCUUGUUCACUUUGAUGAUUAAGCCAGCAAUUAUCGCAUUAGCAUCCUAAGCCACACUUGUCUGCUGAUACAUCUCCUUCUAAGGCAAUCCCAUAAGACAUGAGAGGCUAAGUAGGGAGGGUCUAGCACUUGGAGAAGGGAAGAGCAAAGAACGUGUAAGAGAUAAGGCUAGGAAUUAAGAAGAGGUUGCUUUCUUCUGUUCUUCUGUGUCUGCUUCAGUGUGAUUCAGGAUAGUGCUGGGACCUGGUACAUCAAAAGAGAUGGGGUUUUUUUUUGUUUGUUUGUUUGUUUUCUUUCAUAAGGAGUGGAAGAAUAGACCUUUCACUACUGGCAGUCAAAGGUCCCAUGGAACCUCCUGCCAGGUCUUGUCACUGAUCUGAUGAGGAGCUACGAGAUAUGGUUUAGUGGCUUGUGGUAGCAAGGGUAAUGGGAGGACGGUUGGACUAGAUGAUCUUAUAAGUUUUUUCCUACCUUGAGAUUCUGUGAUUCUUACUUGCUCAGUAAUCAAAGCAAAUCAUUUUAUUUGGUCAAAGAAGGACGAACCUUCACCUUCUGUGCUGCUGCAGCCUUGAGCUGCUUGUACCUUACCAUUACUGUCUUAAAAUGCCUGGUAAAAUGCUACUGAAUGCCAUGUAACAGUCUUCCACCUCCAUUGUUCCUGAGGUAUAUCUGGUAUCUUCACACUAUGCUUCUGGACUGAACACUUUAUUGU
rnacentral:lncRNA from 1 species